GUGGAUGUAGAAUACACGUGGUGGUGACAGAGCUGCUCAUCCUUGGGAAUGUUCACACGACAGCCAGAUGACGUGGUGGUCACCCGUGGUCUCAUGGUCACUCAUGGUCACUAGUGGUGCUGCUGGACACAGACAUGUGCUGUACCUGUAGACGUGUAUAUCUCUGCUGUACCGGCAGACGUAUGUACCUCUGCUGUACCUGCAGACGUGCACAUGUGCGGUGUCUGCGUAGCAUCAGGGAAGGGGAGCAGAGACUACACCGUGAGAACAGCGUGGGGAAGAUGGGGUUGAUUCAUAGCUCCUGGUCCAUCUUCAUCUCAUCGAUCGGCAGACAGCUAUGAGAGAGAGAAACCCGGGAAUAACCAGGACUGGUUAAGCCAACGGAUACACCACUUCUUGACCAUACAGUCCCAGCAAGGGUACUGGUGGCUUGGAGGUCCUGGGAGGAACCAAAGAAGACCAGGGUGAGGAGGUGGAGGAGGGAGGGGGACUAAGAGUGCAAUUUGUAUUAAAAUCAUCUCCUGCCAUAUGUCGGGAACGUUAGCGAGAAGUGGAAGGAUUACAGGC